UCACUCCCUCUUCUCUCUCCUCCCAUCUCCUCCCCGUCAUUCACCUCUUUCUCUCAUUUCAAACUCAAGCCCUCUCAUUUCGAGGAGCAACGAGAAGAUCUCUGUUCUUUUGGUGGUUAACUUGAGCAGCGAUUGCGUUCAUCUUGAGACGAGCAACUUGACCGGCGGCUUCAUACAAGAGCUCCCAAGCGGCGUCGUUUUUGGGCGGAGGUGUAACCGGCGGUGACGGAACUCUUGUGUGCAUCUGGUGGAAUUAUGUGGAACGGGUGAAUAUUUCGCCAUGAAGGCAAUGGAUAAAAAUGCAAUGCUCAAUCAUAAUAAGGUACACAGAGCUAUUGAAGAAAGGGAAAUUCUUGACAUGUUGGACCACCCUUUUCUCCCUGCAUUAUAUGCUUCAUUUUAGACAAAAACACACGUUUGUCUGAUGACUGACUACUUCCCUGGUGGGGAGCUAUAUUUACUUCUGGAUGGACAACCAACAAAGGUCUUGAAAGAAGAUGCAGUAAGUGGAAUGCCUAUACAUUUCCACUCAAGCACCAAUGCAGACGGAACUAAUUAUGAUUGUGAAAAUCUUGGAUGGAAACGACUGCAAGAGUACACUUCUUUUCAAGGGUGGGUAGUAUUUUAGCACAGUUGCUGAGGGGAAUGUCGUCGAGGAAAAUUAUAUUCCUUUAGAUGAUCUAGAAAAAGAAGAUUAUCAUGCCAGUUCGCCUUUGCUGCACUAUAUACUUGCUUAAAGGUACAUUUGUGAAUCCUUUUGCCUUUAGGUGAAGGUUAUGCAAGAUCUUUAUGAAUUUAUAUUGCAAGGCUAGGUUUUGGGAAGUAGUUUGCAGAAGUUUAUAAUUCGAUGUUGCUCCAUAACUAAUAUUUAUUCUGUGUGUUUUCCUUUGGAACUGUGUAUUACACACAAAGAACUUUUAUGUUGCAAAUAUAAACUAGAUUUUGUGCUUUUAUUUUAUACAACAUACUAAAAUAUUUUGCUUACUGUGCCAUGAGCAACAAGUUGCCUCUUUUUAUCUAGUCAGAUUUGAAGGCGACUAGCUUCUUGGUAAGUUGAUGAUUGAAGCAUAUGGUUUUUGUUCUUUCGGAACACCCAAUCCUUUCUACUCUGCCCCUUUUUCAUCUUUAGUUUUGCAUAGAUGCUAUUUGCAUACUCCUAGAAUUUAUUUUCUUUACGACUGAUUUUCCAAAUUGUCAUGACUGAAUUUAUUAUACUUUGUAUGCUAUCUUUCAUGUUUCAGGGAGACCUCAAGUUGACAGGAAAGAAUUCGUUUGCUAAGUCAGGUAUAAACAGUUGUUUUCUCAUUUUCUAUUGCUGAAGGCUAAACCAACAAUGCUUUUUGCAGCCCGCCGAUUCUUUAUGAGGGGGACAAUAUAAAGAGGGGGACAAUAGCACCUAUAGAUUCUGAUGGUUCCCCAGUUACAUUUUCUUGGAGUGGUGAUUCUAGAAGAAAUGUUGCUACAAUAUGGUGUUGUAAAUGAUGCCGCUGCAAUUACUCCUUUUGGAUGCUGCUGUUUCUCUUUAUUUACUAUUUUUUUUACAAUAUCAUUGAGAUGUAAAAUGGGAUUUAGUGCUUGAUAAUAUGUAAAAUUGGAUUUGGUCUUUGAUAAUAUGUAAGAUUGGAGUUGAUAUA